ACACGCUUCUCAGGACUUCCGGCUUGCCACAUCGGAGAGGUUGGCACACAGGAGUAGUCCUAUUUUUACUUUUGUUUAGUUUUUACCGGUCCACACUCAGCAUAAGAUAACAAUGGUGCGAUUAUGAACGGACGAGAGAUUACACAGCCUCGGAUUUUUACGGUAAUUGUUCCUGCAACGGACGGCAGCGCUGACAGAAUGGCGGCGGUGUUGCUAUGACAUGUUCUGCCGGGAAGCGGCCAUCCUUACAAACGGAAAAGGAACCAGCUUGAACAGCUUCAAUCAGUGUGGCAGGACGGGAGAGGCAGAGGGAGAGCGGGAAAUAUGUGGUCCAAUAGGCUAACAAGUAGGGACAGUGCAGGUGGUCAGAGUUGGCGGGAAGAUGGGUGCAGCUAACUACAGAUCAUCCUGGAAGAAAACCUCUGAAAACCUGCAAGACUCGACUUCUAUCCAAUUUGUGACAAGGCUUCAAAUUAACAUCCACAGAUUUUCUUCAUAAUGUGACUGAGUUGCAUUCAGGAGCUGGGUUGGCGCUCUCCAUGCCAGUGGCUGUGAAAAACAGCACAUUUUUCAUUAACAGGAUUACCGUCCAACAAUAAAAAUACAGACGAAUGAGAGUGAGCGUUGUGUUACACAGGCUGCCAGUGAAUUUAAUCACUAUCCAUUCCCUUU